AAUCCCUGAAUGAAUUUGUAGAAAGGCGGCUUAGGAUCAUUAUGUCAGCUUUAUUGAGG
ensembl:misc_RNA